AAAAGAAAAAAAAAAGAAAAAAAAGAAAAAGAAAAAAAUGUGAAGUCGAGUGUACAUUGAGAAAUUGGUUAGAAAAUCGACUUUGUUUGUUGGAAAUAAAUGGAGAGCAUAAAAAAGUGUUUAGUUCUGUUUUGUGAUGAUUAAAUCCCUUGAGUUGUGUUGAUUAUGGUGAUAUAGUUGGGUGGAAGAUGGAAUUUAUUCCAUGCUUGAUUAGUGAAGUCAUAAGGUUGGUG
rnacentral:lncRNA from 1 species